UACGGAGGGGGCUAGCGUUGUUCGGAAUUACUGGGCGUAAAGCGCGCGUAGGCGGCUUUGUAAGUUAGAGGUGAAAGCCCCGGAGCUCAACUCCGGAAUUGCCUUUAAGACUGCAUCGCUAGAAUCAUGGAGAGGGUGAGUGGAAAUUCCGAGUGUAGAGGUGAAAUUCGUAGAUAUUCGGAAGAACACCAGUGGCGGAAGGCGACUCACUGGCCCGAUACUGACGCGUGAGGUGCGAAAGCGUGGGGAGCGAACAGG
rnacentral:rRNA from 1 species